UGCCUGUGUGAGAGAGAGAGGACCAACUGGGAGCUGUGGGGAGGAGGCAGCAUCCCCGACCGAGGGACCCUGGACUUGUCCAGUCACUGGAUUGAGCCCAGGGCACUGAUCCCGGGAUCCCCAAAUCUCCUGCACCCUGAUCACCUGAACUGACACGGGGCUGGACAAGGAAGCAGAGAGGCCCAGAAAAGCAGAAGUGAGGACCGGAGUGAGUCCUCUGAGGAGGGUCCACCCUGUCCCUGCCCAGGGUCUGGCGCUGCUGCAGGUGACAUCUGUGCUGGAGGAAUGACCCCGAGGGACGGGGCCCUGUGGCUGCCUUCAGCUGUGCUGCUUCUCCACGUCCCAGGAGGAUGGUGGAGACCAGAGAGCCAGAGAGAGAAGUGAGGAGUGGCCGUGUGUCCAUCAGGGGCCAUCCUGGAAACCUCACCUUCACAGUGACCAUGGAGAGCCUUGGAAUGGAGGAUGCAGGAAUUUACCUGUGUGGGAUUCACACAGCACUUUCAUUGAACUCCGCCUCCCAGGUUGCCCGGGUUGUGGUGUCUGUGUUCCCAGCCAUCAGCCGCGCCCGAGGGCCCUGGCGGCUCCGUCGCUCUGCAUCACUCCCUGUGCAGUGAACAUCACCCUGUCUGUCCCCUGCCAGGGUGGGUGAAGAGGACAAAGGUGUGGCCGUGGCUGGGGGUGACCUGGAGCCAGGUACUCCUUCCAUAGACUCUGAAAUCUCCUGGUGAGCAAGGACCACGCUGUAUCUGAAAGUGCUCACCUGGCCAGGAUGCACCUGGAGAGCGACCGGGGAGGGGGACCCAGGGUGCCGGUCAUGACCCUGGGUGCAGUCGUGGGGGAUGCUGGACACAACACAUCUGUCCAGACAACCUGAGUGACCUUGACUAUGUGAGCAGAGCCACACCAGUGAUGGAGAGUGGGGACCCAGGGAGAGGGCACCUGGCCUGACCUGUGCUUCUCCCUUAGCCCGUGUUACAGCCCCCAGCCCCGAGAGGUCCACAAGUACCCCAGCUUCUCUCACAACCCAGCCAGCACCCACCAGGAGCACCGCGUCUCAGCAGGAGAUCCCUGAUUCCGGUCAACAUUCUCGGUAAAGGGCCCGCAUCCCAGGACUUUGGUGCCAGGGCUGAACUUUUGGAGGCAUUGGGCAGGUCCCUGCUGGGCAGCAUCCACUUCCUUCUCCUGGUCUUCCUGAAGGUGCCUCUGCUCCUGGGCAUUCUCAGUCUGUCCUCUGGGUCAGCAGGCCUCAGAGGAGCUCUGCAGACAAGGAGAGUCAGCCCAAUUAUAAGAACCAGUAGCCCCUGUGUUUUCUGAUGUCCUGUUCAGGGAGGCAGUCUGCCUGGUGGAUGGGAAUGAUCUUCUGACCCAUCAGUCCUGCAUUGCUCUCCACCUUUCUCUCAGAAUACUGUGUUUGUGACCUUCUUGGUAGCUUUUUUUCUAGUGCAUGAUUCUCAUAAACCAAGAGGGUAGCUGACCAACAGGUGCUUCUGAACUACAACCAGAGAUCAACAUUGCGAACACGCCUUCCAGCUAAUCCACGGAGCAUCACUAAUGUGCUGAACUCUCGGGGGCUCUCCCUGACAUCUUCAGUCCCCCAAGGGAUGCAGUAGACUUGGUUUUGGUUCCAUUUUCCUGGUUUCCAGGCAGUUCUGUGGCUUCCCCCUGACCUGUGCUACCACGGUAACCCCUACUCACAAGUUUGGGAUUCCCCCAUGGGGAAUCUUCCAAUUGCUGAGUCCAUGUAUUUUAUUAUGCACCCUGAAGGUCAGGAAAUAACACAGAGGAUCACGGUCCAUGCGGCCCACCUGAGUCACAAAUCCAUCGUUCCUUGACCUCCAUAAACCUAUGCUCUGUCUCAUAGACCAACAGACCAUGUUGGGCUCCUCUGAUUGGUGUCAGUUCACAACAGAAUUCUGCAUUCCCUGAACAAUCUCAUUACUCCCUUCCUCAUGCUGAGCCAACCAGAUUCGUGUAUUCAGGUACUUUGCAGAUGGCUCUAGAAGAAUAAUACUAUUAAAAUGUUGCAACUUAACAGAGUCCUUUCUUCCUCCUCUUCACGGGUCACUGACC